GACGAACGCUGGCGGCGUGCUUAACACAUGCAAGUCGAACGGAAAGUCCCUGCUUUUGUGGGGUGCUCGAGUUGCGAACGGGUGAGUAACACUUGAGUAACCUGCCCUUGACUUUGGGAUAUCUUCAUGCAACUUGGUCUAAUACCGGAUAGGAGCUCCUGCUUCAUGGUGGGGGUUGGAUAGUUUCGGCGGUUGGUGAUGGACUCGCGGCUUAUCAGCUUGUUGGUUGGGUAGUGGCUUACCAAGGCUUUGACGGGUAGCCGGCCUGAGCGGGUAACAGGACAAACUGGGACGGAGAUGAGACACAGACUAGUACGGGACGCGACAGUGGAGAGGAUAACACAGUGGACGGAGGGAAGGUGCAGCCACGCAGCGUGCGGGAUGAGGGGAAUCGGGUUGUAAAGCGCUGUCGCCUGAGACGAGACGAGAAUGACGGUAAUGGGUAAAGAAGCACCGGCUAACUACGUG
rnacentral:rRNA from 1 species